rnacentral:rRNA from 1 species
UACGAAGGGGGCUAGCGUUGCUCGGAAUUACUGGGCGUAAAGGGAGCGUAGGCGGAUAGUUUAGUCAGAGGUGAAAGCCCAGGGCUCAACCUUGGAAUUGCCUUUGAUACUGGCUAUCUUGAGUGUGGGAGAGGUGUGUGGAACUCCGAGUGUAGAGGUGAAAUUCGUAGAUAUUCGGAAGAACACCAGUGGCGAAGGCGGCUCACUGGCCCGGUACUGACGCUGAGGUGCGAAAGCGUGGGGAGCAAACAGG